UACAGAGGUCCCAAGCGUUGUUCGGAUUCACUGGGCGUAAAGCGCACGUAGGCGGUUCGUUAUGUCGGAUGUGAAAGCCCUUGGCUUAACCGAGGAAGUGCAUCCGAAACUGGCGAGCUAGAGUACGAAAGAGGAUCGCGGAAUUCCCGGUGUAGAGGUGAAAUUCGUAGAUAUCGGGAGGAACACCGGUGGCGAAGGCGGCGAUCUGGGUCGAUACUGACGCUGAGGUGCGAAAGCGUGGGGAGCAAACAGG
rnacentral:rRNA from 1 species